rnacentral:rRNA from 1 species
AGAGUUUGAUCAUGGCUCAGGAUGAACGCUAGCUACAGGCUUAACACAUGCAAGUCGAGGGGCAGCAUGGUCUUAGCUUGCUAAGGCCGAUGGCGACCGGCGCACGGGUGAGUAACACGUAUCCAACCUGCCGUCUACUCUUGGACAGCCUUCUGAAAGGAAGAUUAAUACAAGAUGGCAUCAUGAGUCCGCAUGUUCACAUGAUUAAAGGUAUUCCGGUAGACGAUGGGGAUGCGUUCCAUUAGAUAGUAGGCGGGGUAACGGCCCACCUAGUCUUCGAUGGAUAGGGGUUCUGAGAGGAAGGUCCCCCACAUUGGAACUGAGACACGGUCCAAACUCCUACGGGAGGCAGCAGUGAGGAAUAUUGGUCAAUGGGCGAGAGCCUGAACCAGCCAAGUAGCGUGAAGGAUGACUGCCCUAUGGGUUGUAAACUUCUUUUAUAAAGGAAUAAAGUCGGGUAUGCAUACCCGUUUGCAUGUACUUUAUGAAUAAGGAUCGGCUAACUCCGUGCCAGCAGCCGCGGUAAUACGGAGGAUCCGAGCGUUAUCCGGAUUUAUUGGGUUUAAAGGGAGCGUAGAUGGAUGUUUAAGUCAGUUGUGAAAGUUUGCGGCUCAACCGUAAAAUUGCAGUUGAUACUGGAUAUCUUGAGUGCAGUUGAGGCAGGCGGAAUUCGUGGUGUAGCGGUGAAAUGCUUAGAUAUCACGAAGAACUCCGAUUGCGAAGGCAGCCUGCUAAGCUGCAACUGACAUUGAGGCUCGAAAGUGUGGGUAUCAAACAGGAUUAGAUACCCUGGUAGUCCACACGGUAAACGAUGAAUACUCGCUGUUUGCGAUAUACAGCAAGCGGCCAAGCGAAAGCGUUAAGUAUUCCACCUGGGGAGUACGCCGGCAACGGUGAAACUCAAAGGAAUUGACGGGGGCCCGCACAAGCGGAGGAACAUGUGGUUUAAUUCGAUGAUACGCGAGGAACCUUACCCGGGCUUAAAUUGCAGAUGAAUUACGGUGAAAGCCGUAAGCCGCAAGGCAUCUGUGAAGGUGCUGCAUGGUUGUCGUCAGCUCGUGCCGUGAGGUGUCGGCUUAAGUGCCAUAACGAGCGCAACCCUUGUUGUCAGUUACUAACAGGUUCCGCUGAGGACUCUGACAAGACUGCCAUCGUAAGAUGUGAGGAAGGUGGGGAUGACGUCAAAUCAGCACGGCCCUUACGUCCGGGGCUACACACGUGUUACAAUGGGGGGUACAGAGGGCCGCUACCACGCGAGUGGAUGCCAAUCCCAAAAACCUCUCUCAGUUCGGACUGGAGUCUGCAACCCGACUCCACGAAGCUGGAUUCGCUAGUAAUCGCGCAUCAGCCACGGCGCGGUGAAUACGUUCCCGGGCCUUGUACACACCGCCCGUCAAGCCAUGGGAGCCGGGGGUACCUGAAGUGCGUAACCGCGAGGAGCGCCCUAGGGUAAAACUGGUGACUGGGGCUAAGUCGUAACAAGGUA